UGAUAUUUUGUGGGGAAAAGUCAUCAAAGGCUUUUAGCCCUUAGAUCUGGAUCUAUUUCUUAUUGUUUCUUGGAAUGUUUCUGAUUCUGUUCUCUACAAUACCAAGACACCAGUGAACUCUUUUUUAAAAUGUGAAGAACAUGAAAAUAGAAAAUAAUAAGAAACAAGUCAUUAUGGAGCAUCGAAGCCCCAGAACCAAAUUUUGAAUCUUUUGAAUGACCAUUCAUUGAAAAAAAACAUUGUUUUUCAAAGGAAGAAAUAGAUAAUCUUGUACUUCCAGAUAGUUGGAAUGAAAAACAAGUAUGUUUACAGAAUCAUUCAAAGGCUUCAAAUGAAAGAAGGUAAAUUAAGAUGUAAGGAUUGUUUGACUGGUCAGUAUUUAGGCAUGUGCCUAAGAAAAAUUACCUCCAUCCUGUUUGAUGUCACAUACCCUAAUGAUGUCCCUGGUGUCAGGCAGAGUAUCAGCGUACAACGCUGCAAGGGGUGGGGGCAUGAAGACCAGAAGAGAAGCAUGAGGCUCUCUUUACUUCUGCUCUUGAAUAGAAGGGUGCUGUGCUGCUGCUAGAAAAAUAUAUAUAUAUAGGCUGAAUGCCGGCUAAAUGGAGACACUAUUAUCAGGUUAAUCCUUUUUAAGAAAAAUCUACCUCCAUCUCCUCUCUUACCUUCUCCUUUCUGUUAAUAAACCAUUAAAACCUC